rnacentral:rRNA from 1 species
AUGGAGAGUUUGAUCCUGGCUCAGGAUGAACGCUAGCGGCAGGCCUAACACAUGCAAGUCGAGGGGCAGCAUUUAACUAGUUUACUAGUUGAGAUGGCGACCGGCGCACGGGUGCGUAACGCGUAUGCAACCUACCAUUAACAGGGGGAUAAUUCGGAGAAAUCUGGUCUAAUACCCCAUACUAUUUAAAUAGGCAUCUAUUUAAAUUGAAAGCUCCGGCGGUUAAUGAUGGGCAUGCGUUGUAUUAGCUAGUUGGUGAGGUAACGGCUCACCAAGGCUACGAUACAUAGGGGGACUGAGAGGUUUACCCCCCACACUGGUACUGAGACACGGACCAGACUCCUACGGGAGGCAGCAGUGAGGAAUAUUGGUCAAUGGACGAGAGUCUGAACCAGCCAAGUCGCGUGAAGGAAGAAGGAUCUAUGGUUCGUAAACUUCUUUUAUAGGGGAAUAAAAAAGAGGACGUGUCCUUUCUUGUAUGUACCCUACGAAUAAGGAUCGGCUAACUCCGUGCCAGCAGCCGCGGUAAUACGGAGGAUCCAAGCGUUAUCCGGAUUUAUUGGGUUUAAAGGGUGCGUAGGCGGCGUUAUAAGUCAGUGGUUAAAGGUGUGAGCUCAACUCACAACAUGCCAUUGAAACUAUAGUGCUAGAGAGUGGUUGCAGCAGGCGGAAUGUGUAGUGUAGCGGUGAAAUGCUUAGAUAUUACACAGAACACCGAUUGCGAAGGCAGCUCACAAAGCUAUUUCUGACGCUGAGGCACGAAAGCGUGGGGAGCAAACAGGAUUAGAUACCCUGGUAGUCCACGCCGUAAACGAUGAUAACUCGUUGCAGGCGAUACACAGUCUGUGACUUAGCGAAAGCGUUAAGUUAUCCACCUGGGGAGUACGUUCGCAAGAAUGAAACUCAAAGGAAUUGACGGGGGCCCGCACAAGCGGAGGAACAUGUGGUUUAAUUCGAUGAUACGCGAGGAACCUUACCCGGGCUUGAAAGUUAGUGACCGGUCUGGAAACAGACUUUCUCUUCGGAGCACGAAACUAGGUGCUGCAUGGUUGUCGUCAGCUCGUGCCGUGAGGUGUCGGGUUAAGUCCCAUAACGAGCGCAACCCCUAUCGAUAGUUACCAGCGAGUUAAGUCGGGGACUCUAUUGGGACUGCCAGUGUAAGCUGUGAGGAAGGUGGGGAUGACGUCAAAUCAGCACGGCCCUUACGUCCGGGGCGACACACGUGUUACAAUGGUCGGUACAGAGGGCCGCUACCUGGUGACAGGAUGCUAAUCUCGAAAGCCGAUCUCAGUUCGGAUUGGAGGCUGAAACUCGCCUCCAUGAAGUUGGAUUCGCUAGUAAUCGCAUAUCAGCCAUGAUGCGGUGAAUACGUUCCCGGGCCUUGUACACACCGCCCGUCAAGCCAUGGAAGUUGGGGGUGCCUGAAGUACGUGACCGUAAGGAGCGUCCUAGGGCAAAACUGAUAACUGGGGCUAAGUCGUAACAAGGUAGCCGUACCGGAAGGUGCGGCUGGAACACCUCCUU